rnacentral:tRNA from 1 species
GAGGGUAUAGCUCAGUGGUAGAGUGCAGCGCUUAGCAUGAGCAAGGUCCUGGGUUCAAUCCCUCGUACCUCCA